AAAGAAGAUAAACGGAGACGAAUGGUGCGCGUCGCCGCGCGCACGGUCGUAUUACUUUUUGCGCGCCAGCGUCGCGCUCGUAGAAAGCGCGCGUUCACAGGCGAUCCCGGAAGCGGGAGGAUUUACGAUAAACACCGUGCUCCAAUGAUGCUUAACGUACGGGUCAUGCGUUGUCCGGCUAUCAGCCGAAGUCAUUGGAGCACCGUUACUGCCAGUGAACGCUUUGAAUUACUGCAGAGUGAUUAUUAACCCAUUUGCAUCGCAUGUGUAACGAAAUGAAAAAUAUUCCGUUAUCGUUGAACUUUUUUUUUCCUAUUAGCUACCGGAAGAAAUUCGUGCGGGUUUCUUGUUAGCGAUGAAUUGUGAGAUAAAUAUAAGUCAUGAUAUACAAUCAUAAUAAUGUAGUAAGUAACAGCAAUGUAAUAUGGUAAUGCUGAUUGAUUAUUCAUUGACAAUCUAGUCUAGGAAUGUACUUGUGUAUACGCUUAAUGAUGAAAACGGGUUAUACUGCGGAUAUUUAUGCAAAUCCGUAUUUUUAUAGAUCGUUUUAUAAAAAGAAUGAAGGAAAAUAUGAUCUCAUUGAUUAAAAGGAUCCUUCUGGUGAAAACGGACAACAAGGGGAUGAUCGAAGUGAUCCGGCGUCGCAUACCUUCCGCGCGGCCAUUAGCGUAUAGUGAACCGCGUGGUGCAGCAGAUAAAUUUUGCACGUACCAUGGACAGCGAUUUACUUUCCGUCAGAUUUGUACACUUGCCGGCUAUAGUCAGGCAUCCAGGUGCAUAGACGGCGCACGUAGGGAACGCACCAUAACUUUUAAUGAAUUCCUGUUCGGCUAGAGCCAGUAAACGCUGGACAUUAGGGGUCUUUUUAAUAUCGUCCGAGGAGUCGUCGUCCAGGAGAUUCGUGAAACGGUAAAACUGCGGAUAUGUGCGAUGUAAUUAUGAUAUUUGAAAUAAUCGCAGUAAAUAUUGGCGAGAUGUACAGCUGUUUCUGUUCCCUGGAUUGGAAUUUGGACGUUGAUUCAACUGCAGUUCGAAGUUUACUGUUUAUGUUUGACGUCGUGAUUAAGUUCACGAAAGGAAAUUGGAGACAAUUGAUAAGAUUGUAUUGCUAGAUCUAAGAUUGUGUUAUUGUAAUAUUAAUUAUAUUGUUAUAGAUUAAUUUAGGCACAAGAAUUUAAAGAAAAAGCUGAAUUAAAAUUAAGAUUUGAUCAGAAUUGAAAGAAUAAAAUAGAAUUAGUUGUUUUAAUUUUCAAAUGGUUCGUAGUAUGAGUAAUUACAGGAAAAAUUGUAUUAAUAGAACUAAAAUCGUGUUAUUACAGUAUUAGGCACAAAAAUGUAAGGAAGAAGUUGAAUUAAAAUUGAAAUAACACAAUAGAAUUGGUUGUUUUAACUUUUAAAUGGUUCGCAUUACGAGUAAUUACAGCGAAAACUGUUAAACCACGUAUCGGAAUCGUACGUUAUCCGCUCUGUCCCGGCACAAGACCGCAAAGGUUUAAUUCAUUCGGUGAGACUUUCGCAAGAAUUUGUUCUGGAACAAUGCGACAAGCGAUUUUUCACGGUGUAACAGCUCGGCGAGCGUGGAUCACGGGUGGAAACGGAAGUUUUAUUCUGAUUUUUCUAUCAUGAACAAUGAGAGCUCUUACUUUAUUGUUCGAUAAAUUGCCUAGCGUGGAAGAGGCACACGCUGCGCGGAUAUUACGGGAUUUAUUGUUCAUGAUGGAAAAUGCUGUCCGAACGGGACCCGAA